GACAUGGUGGAUCAGUGGUUAAGACACCAACUCUGACUGUGGAGACCAGGGUUCAAAUCCUUGCUUGGCCA